rnacentral:rRNA from 1 species
UUUCCUACGGGACGCAGCAGUGGGGAAUAUUGGGCAAUGGGCGCAAGCCUGACCCAGCAACGCCGCGUGAAGGAAGAAGGCUUUCGGGUUGUAAACUUCUUUUCUCAGGGACGAAGCAAGUGACGGUACCUGAGGAAUAAGCCACGGCUAACUACGUGCCAGCAGCCGCGGCAAUACGUCGGUGGCAAGCGUUAUCCGGAUUUAUUGGGUUUAAAGGGUGCGUAGGCGGAAGGUUAAGUCAGCGGUCAAAUGUCGGUGCUCAACACCGGCCUGCCGUUGAAACUGGUCUUCUUGAGUGAGCGGGA